CAUUCUCACUAUAAGCCAUUCUCACUAUAGCCAUCUGCACCACAGCCAUUCUCACUAUAACCAUUCCUCACACAGCCAUUCUCACUAUAACCAUUCUCACUAUAGCCAUUCUCACUAUAGCCAUUCUCACCACAGCCAUUCUCACUAUAACCAUUCUCACUAUAGCCAUUCUCACUAUAGCCAUUCUCACCACAGCCAUUCUCACCAACAGCCCAUUCUCACUAUAGCCAUUCCACCACAGCC
rnacentral:lncRNA from 1 species